ensembl:snoRNA
UGGGGAUAGUGUCAGAGGGGGAGCUCUGAGAGAGUGGAGGAUCGAAAGUGUGCUACAUUGAAUUUAUGGCAGGAUUUUCGCUAACACCAGUAGAGCUUGCCUCUGGCUGAAGUUUGGUAGUGGUCACUACCACAUACAUACAUACAUACAUACAUACAUACAUAC